UGAUUGUCCAAACGCAAUUCUUGUUCAACGGAAACAUACAAACCAAGAAUUGUGCCUGGACAUCCGU
rnacentral:pre_miRNA from 1 species